GGGGGGCUGCCGGCGCCGUGCGGGAAACACAUUUUGCUGGUACCGGUUGCAAGUGUCCAUUUCCCAUCGGUUUAAAUGAAGAAACGAUGAAAGCCCUAGUGCUGCCAGACCCCUUAGUCCGCAAGGGCACUACUUGUGGGAGAGGGUGGGGUCCCUGACUGCCUAGAACGCGCCACCGAGAUGGCGGCGGCCAGUGUGUAGGGUCAUCGGGUAGGGUGUGCGGGUGUGUCCUUCCCGGCCUCUUCCCGGACCCUGACGCACCUGCAAGCUUCUGAGUCAGGACAGAUGGCCUGAGAGAGCACAGAGGUGUCUGAAAGAGGGUAAACCAUGGAAGAGGGAUUCUGAAACUCCAGUCUAAACAUAAGCACUUUAAUGAGUCUUUUGUUUGUUGUGUUUUACCUACAGGACAGUGUAGUAACCUGAAAGUCCCAGAAGUGCCAGUAGCAGACUGAUUUAUAUCUGAGUUAUCUUUCUGGAGGAAUAUGUCACAUUACUAAAAUGGGUGAUGGGAAGCAUUAUUAUGUCUCUCCCGAAAACGCCAGCCUCACCGUUAAACUCCCCAGCAUCUUAUGACCCUAGGAAGUCAAAAGUAUCUGCGGUCAAGGAGACAAGAGCCAAAGAGAUUAACAGACACUUUAAUUCCUGAAGAAUUUCAUAUCGGGUCAAGUACAGGAGCUUCAGGUUUGGAGAGCUAUGAUGAGAUUGUAGAAGAGUACCAUGACUUAUAUACAUUACAAAGAGGAAGGAUGGAGGCUGAUAUUAAACAGUUAAUUGAAGAAAGAGAUAUCUGGAGCUCAGCCACAUAUAAGUUGGCUCUAAAGGUAAUUGAAAGAAAUGGAGUCAUAUUGGCCAAAAGGCUCUUCCUCAAUGAAAAAGGCUGGAAUAAAUACACUAAGCAUUUCAUCACAGUGCUGUCAAACAAGGACACUGCAGACUUCACAUUGUUGCAGAAAUUGACACACAAAUGGAGAAACUUACUGAAUAAAUUUAAACAGGAUGUUGAACAAACAGAAGAGCCUACAAGGGAGAAAUUGCAAAUUGUUAAGGAUGGCCUUAUGAAAUGGCAGCAGUUCUAUGAAAAUAAGUGAGUCUCUAAGAAUCCUCUUUUUCUGAUUAUAGCAUGUCUAAAUAACUCAGUACAGUUCUCAUUCUGUCUUUCUCUGUCCACACCCCUCCUUCUACCUUACAAUUA
rnacentral:lncRNA from 1 species